GAGUUUGAUCCUGGCUCAGAUUGAACGCUGGCGGCAGGCCUAACACAUGCAAGUCGAGCGGAUGACGGGAGCUUGCUCCUUGAUUCAGCGGCGGACGGGUGAGUAAUGCCUGGGAAUCUGCCUGGUAGUGGGGGGACAACGUUUCGAAAGGAACGCUAAUACCGCAUACGUCCUACGGGAGAAAGCAGGGGACCUUCGGGCCUUGCGCUAUCAGAUGAGCCUAGGUCGGAUUAGCUAGUUGGUGGGGUAAUGGCUCACCAAGGCGACGAUCCGUAACUGGUCUGAGAGGAUGAUCAGUCACACUGGAACUGAGACACGGUCCAGACUCCUACGGGAGGCAGCAGUGGGGAAUAUUGGACGAAUGGGGGCAACCCUGAUCCAGCCCAUGCCGCGUGAGUGAAGAAGGCC
rnacentral:rRNA from 1 species